AAGACGAUAUCGGUAGAUCCGAAUGGUACUUUUAGCUUUACAAAUAGCUAUACAAUACAUAUGUAUUUUCCAUUCAAGCUGACUUUACCUUAUUUUCUGCUCUGAUCCUGUUUGGGACCGAGACAGAAAA
rfam:Paenibacillus sp. TI45-13ar contig00042, whole genome shotgun sequence.